UACGUAGGGUGCAAGCGUUGUCCGGAAUCAUUGGGCGUAAAGCGUUCGUAGGCGGUUUAGUAAGUCUAAUGUUAAAUCCUGGAGCUCAACUCCAGCAUGGCAUUGGAUACUGCUAGGCUAGAGUAUAGUAGAGGUAAGGGGAAUUCCUGGUGUAGCGGUGAAAUGCGUAGAUAUCAGGAGGAACAUCGGUGGCGAAAGCGCCUUACUGGACUAUUACUGACGCUGAGGAACGAAAGCUAGGGUAGCGAAAGGG
rnacentral:rRNA from 1 species